rnacentral:rRNA from 1 species
GACGAACGCUGGCGGCGUGCCUAAUACAUGCAAGUCGAGCGGAGAAUGAAGGAAGCUUGCUUCUUUCAUUCUUAGCGGCGGACGGGUGAGUAACACGUAGGCAACCUGCCCUCAAGCUUGGGACAACUACCGGAAACGGUAGCUAAUACCGAAUACAUGAUUUGUUCGCCUGAACGAAUUUGGAAAGACGGAGCAAUCUGUCACUUGAGGAUGGGCCUGCGGCGCAUUAGCUAGUUGGUGAGGUAACGGCUCACCAAGGCGACGAUGCGUAGCCGACCUGAGAGGGUGAUCGGCCACACUGGGACUGAGACACGGCCCAGACUCCUACGGGAGGCAGCAGUAGGGAAUCUUCCGCAAUGGACGCAAGUCUGACGGAGCAACGCCGCGUGAGUGAUGAAGGUUUUCGGAUCGUAAAGCUCUGUUGCCAGGGAAGAACGUCCGGGUUAGUAACUGAACCCGGAGUGACGGUACCUGAGAAGAAAGCCCCGGCUAACUACGUGCCAGCCGCCGCAGUAAAAC